UUGUAGCGGACCUCAGUCACAAUCAACUGGGCUCUAUAUUAAAACAUCGACCACGGGUCUGACGUUUAAACUACGCAUGAAAACACUACGUUAUGUGACAAAACAGUAACAUAUCGGUAAUUAUGGCUUACAAUUGUGUGCCUUUCCCUCACUUGUCAUUUUCCGACGAUUGUUGCGAAAUGCAUGCUGGGAUACCUGGCUGUCCACACAAGUCUGCUCCGAUGCAUCCCCGGUGAAAUGGGUGUGGCCGGAGAUAUUGGAUAAAUAUCCAAUUUAUCCAAUAUCUCUGGUGUGGCGAGAACACAUCUGGGCAUUUGGACUGAACUUGGCUAGAUGUGAACUUUGAAUUGGAACAGUACUUGGGCUGUGACCAAGCCCCAACCUCCGGGGGAGACGAGUGAAACCAAUGCGGAAGUGCCAAAAACUGCAGUUCACUGACUGUCCACUUGAGGCUGGCUCCGGAAGUGAGUCAAUUCCCAUAGACCCCCAUGUUAAAAUGCCCAACUUUAGAGCAGAAAUAAACAUGUUUACAGCCUGGUACAAAAAAUGGUUUUGGUCUCUAUAGGGGGGGUGUGUGUGUGAAUUUUUUUGUAACUCUUCCGUUUAAAUGUUAUUAAGGUUUGAAAUUGCGCAUAAUUAAGGGCGUGGUCACUUUGACUGACAGGUCGCACCAUCACGGGUGGCAAACUAGCAUGCUAACUAGCCGCUGGCUCUGCUGCAGAGCUGAGCUCAGACUCGGCCGUCUGCUCGGCGUCAUCUCAGCCAGUUCGUGUCCAUGUUCAAGGCUUGAACCUGUCCUCUCAGCCGUGUUUGUGCCUUUUGAAUAUUUUUUCAGGCAAAUAUUGGAGUAAUAUGGCUUGCUGUUCGACUAAUUAUACCAACAGACCGUCCAAGAAGUCUGUGCUCCAGGUUCUUCGUUUUCCUCUAGGUGACCCAGACAGACUGGACCAGUGGACACUCAACACGAGGAGACAGAACUGGACUCCGAACAAGACUUCCCAUCUGUGCAGUGAACACUUUGAGAGUCAUCACUUCAGCACUGACUCCAGGAUAAAGACACCUUUUUUAUACAGUACCUCACAAAGAGUCAAGAAACUUAUUAGUUUAAAAUGAUGAAUUAUUGUCCAUAAUACAUUUAAAUGCAUUACAUAAAUUACUAAUUGUCAUACAUUACUAAGUACUUGAUUAGGGCACAGCUUGCUCUGUACUAUUACUGAUAAGGUGAAAUUACUGACACACCAGUGCAGUUUAGUGUUCCCCUGAUGCAAAAGGCCAAAUGAAGAUUUUAUCAAUCAAGGAACAUGACAUGUAUUUACCAACUUUAACAUUUUAGUGCCUUUUAUGCAAAGACCCUUUAUCAAAGUGAGAACUACUACCUUUUUCCCCACUCACAGUCUGUGAAAAACCAAUGGAAAAAAUAUUCUCAUAAUGAGACAGCUGAACAUAGCAUGAUUCCACAGUGGCAGUGAGCUUUGAGAAGAGUUCAGUUUCCUUUUGAUAGCAACAGUUAUUUUAAUGUGGAUGAAUUGCAUACUGUACAUUCAUACUCCACUUGUCUUGAUAGUACAGUUAAAUUUAAAAUCACAUUCAAAUAUAAAGUUGAAUAUCUACAGAACUUAAACACAAAACUAUUUUAUGAAUGACAGCCACUUACUCAGCAAUAAGAUCAUUUUGGUGGUGAGUGGGCUUUUAACCAAGACAGGCUGUUGUCAAUGUUUUCUACCUGUGUUUUUAACCUGUCAUCUUUCUCUCAUGUAGGACACUUGAGGAAAGUUACAACGCCUCGACCAAUGUGAUAUUUACUCCACAGUAAAGAGGUUGUUUCACAAGAAAUUAAGAUUUUGCAAAUUAUGACACUGGGUCCUAAUCCAUAGGUUUUAUAAUUACUGUUAUAAAUCUUUUCAUUUAUUUCAUGUGUACUUUUUGUAACAUUUUAAUAGUGAUGAUUUCAUGAAUGCAAGCUUUGACUUAAUUUUGUUAAACUGUUUGUGUAAUGGUUAUAACUUGCUAUAUAAAAUGGAUCAAACAAAAUUUACUUUAGAGUUAAAGCAAAUUUUCUGAAAGCUGUCAUUCAUCAGUUUCCUGUGAUGAUUGGAAAUAUAGUGGUGAUUUAAACCAUUAACAAAAUAUAAUUGUUAUAAAUGGCAUCUUAAUGUUUUCAUUUAUGUCUUAACAUUUACCCAAGUUUGCAUUUGUCUUAGCAGAAUGUAAAAAGAAAAAAGAAAAAAAAAGAAAA